ensembl:snoRNA
AAGACUAUACUUUCAGGGAUCAUUUCUAUAGUUUGUUACUAGAGAAGUUUCUCUGAAUGUGUAGAGCACCCGAAACCAUGAGGAGGAGGCGCAGUGUCCUUUCCUGAGCGUGAAUUGGGCUCUGGGUGUUGUUUUUAUAACUGCCCUUUGUCGUUGAUGAUCGUUCUUAUUUCUCUUCCGGAGAAGUUAGAGGGGAAGGACACCGUCUGAGUGGUU